GUUAAAAAGCUCGUAGUUGGAUUUCUGCGGGGACGGAGCGGCCGGUCGCAACUUGCGACCCGAGCUAGCGCUUUCCCCGCAUCCUGCCGCGAACCGUGCUACCAUUAGCUUGGUGGCGCUGGGGAUCGGCUCGAUUACUUUGAGAAAAAUAGAGUGUUCAAAGCAGGCCACACGCCUUGAAUAAGUUAGCAUGGAAUAAUGACUAAGGACUUUGGUUCUUUUCGUUGGUGUUCGGGACUGAAGUAAUGAUUGAUAGGGACAGUUGGGGCGGUCCGUAUUCCAAAGCGAGAGGUGAAAUUCUUAGACCUUCGGAAGACGAACAGCUGCGAAAGCGUUCCGCAAGGAUGUUCCCUUUGAUCAAGAACGAAAGUUGGGGGAUCGAAGACGAUCAGAUACCGUCGUAGUCUCAACUAUAAACUAUACCAGCUAGGGAUCGGCCAACGUUUAAUUUAUCGACUUGGUCGGCACCUUAUGAGAAAUCAAAGCAUCUGGGUUCCGGGGGGAGUAUGGUCGCAAGGCUGAAACUUAAAGGAAUUGACGGAAGGGCACCACCAGCCGUGGAGCCUGUGGCUUAAUUUGACUCAACACGGGAAAACUUACCAGGUCCGGACAUAGUAAGGAUUGACAGAUUGAUAGCUCUUUCUUGAUUCUGUGGGUGGUGGUGCAUGGCCGUUUUUAGUCGGUGGAUGUGAUCUGUCUGCUUAAUUGCGUUAACGGACGA
rnacentral:rRNA from 1 species